CUCCUCUCUCACUCCCAGCUCCACAACAAUGUGGUUACUGUAUUCUCUGUCUCUACUUCUCCUUCUCCUGCUAUUCACUUUAACAGAUCUCUCCUACUCCAUUGCUAUAAACACCUCCAUUGACUACCUCAAGCUUCCAUUGCUCCAUAGAACCCCAUUCACGUCCCCUUCUCAAGCCCUUUCUUUUGAUAUCCGCCGCCUCUCUCUACUCCACCACCAACACCAACGGCUCUCUUUCAAAUCCCC
rnacentral:misc_RNA from 1 species